AUGCCCUUUUAAAUGCAGUCCAGAGAGGCUGAAAAGGGGGAACACAUCGCUGAUGGCUUUGUGCGGGUUUUUUAACCCUUACCCUCUUUGUAUCUACUGGCAAAGAGGGUUUUUGUUU
rfam:Bacillus selenatarsenatis SF-1 DNA, contig: BSSF00048.